rnacentral:rRNA from 1 species
GACGAACGCUGGCGGCGUGCCUAACACAUGCAAGUCGAACGGAACUGUUUUGAAAGAUUUCUUCGGAAUGAAUUUGAUUUAGUUUAGUGGCGGACGGGUGAGUAACGCGUGAGUAACCUGCCUUCAAGAGGGGGAUAACAUUCUGAAAAGAAUGCUAAUACCGCAUGACAUAUCGGAAUCACAUGAUUUUGAUAUCAAAGAUUUUAUCGCUUGAAGAUGGACUCGCGUCCGAUUAGUUAGUUGGUGAGGUAACGGCUCACCAAGACCGCGAUCGGUAGCCGGACUGAGAGGUUGAACGGCCACAUUGGGACUGAGACACGGCCCAGACUCCUACGGGAGGCAGCAGUGGGGGAUAUUGCGCAAUGGGGGCAACCCUGACGCAGCAACGCCGCGUGAAGGAUGAAGGUUUUCGGAUUGUAAACUUCUUUUAUUAAGGACGAAAAUUGACGGUAC